UACAGAGGGUGCAAGCGUUAAUCGGAAUUACUGGGCGUAAAGCGUGCGUAGACGGUUACAUAAGUCGGGUGUGAAAGCCCCGGGCUCAACCUGGGAAUUGCAUUCGAGACUGCGUAGCUAGGGUGCGGAAGAGGGAAGCGGAAUUUCCGGUGUAGCGGUGAAAUGCGUAGAUAUCGGAAGGAACACCAGUGGCGAAAGCGGCCUUCUGGACAGUGACUGACGCUGAGACGCGAAAGCGUGGGGAGCAAACAGG
rnacentral:rRNA from 1 species